CCUACGAGUGGCAGCAGUGAGGAAUAUUGGUCAAUGGCCGAGAGGCUGAACCAGCCAAGUCGCGUGAGGGAAGACGGCCCUACGGGUUGUAAACCUCUUUUGUCGGGGAGCAAAGCGAACCACGUGUGGUUCAUUGAGAGUACCCGAAGAAAAAGCAUCGGCUAACUCCGUGCCAGCAGCCGCGGUAAUACGGAGGAUGCGAGCGUUAUCCGGAUUUAUUGGGUUUAAAGGGUGCGCAGGCGGAGGUGCAAGUCAGCGGUCAAAUUGCGGGGCUCAACCCCGUACUGCCGUUGAAACUGCAUGCCUUGAGUGCGCGAGAAGUAUGCGGAAGGCGUGGUGUAGCGGUGAAAUGCAUAGAUAUCACGCAGAACUCCGAUUGCGAAGGCAGCAUACCGGCGCGCAACUGACGCGCAUGCACGAAAGCGUGGGUAUCGAACAGGAGUAGAUACACCAGUAGUC
rnacentral:rRNA from 1 species